ACGCACGCUGGCGGCGUGCUUCACCCCUGCCCGUCGAACGGAAAGGCCCUGCUUUUGUGGGGUGCUCGAGUGGCGAACGGGUGAGUAACACGUGAGUAACCUGCCCUUGACUUUGGGAUAACUUCAGGAAACUGGGGCUAAUACCGGAUAGGAGCUCCUGCUGCAUGGUGGGGGUUGGAAAGUUUCGGCGGUUGGGGAUGGACUGGCGGCUUAUCAGCUUGUUGGUGGGGUAGUGGCUUACCAAGGCUUUGACGGGUAGCCGGCCUGAGAGGGUGACCGGCCACAUUGGGACUGAGAUACGGCCCAGACUCCUACGGGAGGCAGCAGUGGGGAAUAUUGCACAAUGGGCGGAAGCCUGAUGCAGCAACGCCGCGUGCGGGAUGACGGCCUUCGGGUUGUAAACCGCUUUCGCCUGUGACGAAGCGUGAGUGACGGUAAUGGGUAAAGAAGCACCGGCUAACUACGUG
rnacentral:rRNA from 1 species